GGAAAAGCUCAAUAAAGCCCCUUUCACACUGCGAUUCCGGCAAAUACAGGUCCCGUAACGACACGUGACAUCAGGGCGUGACGCUAAAUUUAGUUGUUUUCAUCUUCAGACUAAUGAAAUUGAAGUAUCCAAAUGAAGACCCUAGCAGUAUGGAGUAUAUGGAUACAGACGUUGCCAGCAAUCAGGAGGUGAUCCAGAAGACUCGUGGGAAUCUAUUUGAAGCUGCAGUCAUUGAAGUCAGUUCAGCAGAAGUUGGAGUUUUAAAGGAUAAAGUUCUUCA